UAUUCACUCUAUUUAAAGUCUGCUCUUGUUUCUUGCCUUUUCCUUUGUUUACUUAAUCUUUUCAUGACUAAUGAAUUUUCUGCCUAGAAAUUGUAAAGGAAAAGACAGGCAAGAUUUUUUUUAGAGAUACGGAUACCUUGUAUGAUACUGCUCACAAAUUUCCUGACAGAAGUGUUUUCGCUUAUGCCUUUUUAGCAAGAAUAGCAAAAUGGAUAUAUAUGUAUGUAUGAGACACUCCUGGAAAUUACAAUAGCAUCC
rnacentral:lncRNA from 1 species